AAAAAAAAAAAAAAAUCUUUCCCCUGUGGCUGUCAGAGAUUCAUCAAAUAAACAAAACAAAUCCUAACACGCAACCCCUGAGCAGGGAACGUGGGAAGGCCCAUGGAGUGCUCCCAAAUAGUAUCUUAUUUUCCACUGGCUUGCCACAUGACCCUGGGACUGUGAGCUGUGCUCUUUGAGCACAGCGACUGUGCCUGAUGCUGUACCAGAGCUGUUGACGCGGCACCAAAGCCAGCUGUUUCAUGAGGUUGCUGGAGUGCCCUGGGGAGUUGAGUGCACAGAAGAAUGACUCCCAGGGGUGGUAGAAGAAUAUAGGGGGGCUGGGGAGAUCUGUAUCUGAUCCCUUGCUUCCCGCUGUGGUGAGUGGUGCAGGGUUUUCUGGUACAGUACCUCCAUCUCUCCCUAGGGACUUGAGUUCACACUCUGCUCUGGUGGACAAAAGAGAUUUCCACAGAGGAUGGGUCAGUGAAGCUGAGUACAUGGGUAACCCAUAGGUGACAUGCCAGCUCUAGCAAGAUAAGGAAGUCCCCACUGUUGACUAAGGUUUUCUGUCCUGCCCAGGCAUGCAGCUGUUAAGUCCCAAAGAAUCACACAGAGGUCUACAUUAAAUAUAAACUGAUUGGCCCAUUAUUUACUAAUUCUUAUUUCAGGCUUCUUAUUUACUAAUUCUUUUAACUUACAUUAGCCCAUAAUUCUUGGCUUAGUACCUUUUUGGUGAGCCAGUCACAUCUUGCUUCCUCUGAGGCUGGGUCAUGACUGUGGACUUAAACUUCCUUUUUUCCAGAUUUCUCAUUGCCCCACCUCUACUUCCUGCCUGGUUGCCCUACCUAUACUUCCUGCCUGGAUACUGACCAGUCAGUAUUUUAUUAAAAAUAAUACAAGUGACAGGAUAAAAGACCAUUGUCCCAUGGCACUCUCCCCCCUUUUUAAACAAGAACUCUGAAUUGAAUCUCCUUUGUUUAGCUUUUUGUUCAUACCAUUAUCCAUAACAUCUUCUAACCAACAUUCUAAACAAAGGCAAACAUCCAUAAUCCAUUUUUUUGGGGAAUGUGGGAGUAGUUUUCCAGGCUACUUUCUGCUGGUUGGGGACACUGAUAAUCUUACAGGGACCUAAAGAAAAUUUAGAAUUAUGAUCAAGUCCUGACUGGAGUUGUCCCGUGAGCCUUGAUCAUCUCAGGCAGCAUUUUGAAUCUGUUCUGGAUGUAGAACUCAGACAUCCAGGCCAUUCCUUCCUAUUGGAGAUUUCUCAGGUGGUCUUCCUUGAUCAAACAUGAUUUUUCUUAACCCAGAAUGAAUCCACAGCCUCUCAUUUCCUGUGGAAACAAAAGCAAAACCUCUUCUCCAAAGUAACAUAUCUUUUGAUUUCAAUUUUGAAGUUAAGGUAUUUUCAAAAUACCUAUCUUGGAUUAAUUCAGCAGCAUUUAUAAACAAAUAUCUUUCAGCAGCUGUUGCUCCUUUCUCAGCAAACAAUUCAAAGAGAACAUGAUAACAUAUAGUAUCCAGACUCUCUGUGUAUUUUUCAUCUUUAUGUGACUUUAUUUUAAACUCUAUCUCUUUUAUUUUUAUUUUUAAUUUUUUUUGAGACUUGGUUUCUCUGUGUAUCUUUAGCUGUCCUAUAAUUCACUCUGUAGACCAGGCUGUCCUUGAACUCACAGAGAUCUGCCUGCCUCUGCCUCCAAAGUGCUGGGAUUAAAGGUGUAUGCUACCAUGCCUUGAACUCACAGAGAUCUCUCUCUGCCUCUGCCUCCCAAAUGUUGGGAUUGAAGGUGUUUGCCACCACACCCAAAUAUUCUCUUUCUUAUUUUAAGGACUUUAUUCUUUUCCUUUGUCUUCCAAGCUUACACAUAUUUUUAAACACACCGUAAACCCUUUAGAGGUUUUCUUUGCCUUUGAUCUAUCUUUACUGUAUAUCUCUCUUUUUCUGACUAUACAAGUCUUUAAUUUGCUAUGCAAUAUGACUAGGAUUAAAGCUGUGGCUUUGAUGGCUGGAUCCAGUCCAUUCCUUAGCUUUUUGAGAUUCCAGCCUCAUGGUGGAGGUACUAGCCAAAGCCAUGUUUAUUGCCACAACUCUAAGGUGUUUUAAGGUCCCUGCCACUACCAAAAAGCAUGUGGUCAGCUUUACAUCAACACCAUUUAAGUGUUUUAUGGCAGGACCUCUUAAAAGAGCUGCAAGGUUUUGUAGCUGAGUCAGGAAGCCUCUCUUAAAUGAGAUGCAUUUGCCUCUAGCAAACAGAGCUCACCUGAGAAAACGCUGCUAUCUAUAAGCUGUGCUUAACUGUAUUCUUUUCUGUCUAGAAUUACUUCCCAAGCUCUCUCAGGCUUGUGUGUGUGGGUGCAGUUGUCCACGUGGGUGCCAUUCUGUUGACUGAGGUUUUCUGUCCCACCCAGUCCUACAGCUUUUCUUCAGCUAGAGGCCACUAUUUAACCAAUAUUGGCUUCUCAGUUAAUUAUUUUAAAGGCAGGGUUGUUAGUACCUCUGAAGACUUAUCAAUUGCUUUGUGUUCUUGUAUGGCCCGAAUGGCUGGUGACUGUCAUCUAUAAUAUCUUCUAAUAUUUUCCACAGAAACAUAAGUUUUUUGGGGGCUGCAGGAAUGUUAAUCUGGGUAUUCCAUUGCUGCAAUAGGUCACGACCCCACAAAUUCACUGCAAUGAUAUCUACAUAUGGCCUUAGUCUUCUUCUCUGUCCUUCUGGUCCUAGGCACUCAACCCAUCUCAUGCUCUGUUUUACCUGAGAUAGGGCUCCAAUCCUUAGGAACUGAACAUUUAUAUACACUCUUAGCUUCGGUCUUUGAUCAUUUAUAGAAGUCUGCCAGAAUAUACAUUUCCUAUGUCCUACUUGAGUUUUUGACCCAUUUUCCACAUUUAUUCCAUCAUCCAGACCAGUAUUAUUUUUUCACAGUAAGCACUGGAUUUUUAAAAAUUUUCCUGGUGAGACACAUUCUCCACAGUAACUGGGAAUGACUGGACCAUGUUCAUCAUGGGGGCCUGCAAGAGGCACCAAUGGCAUUUUCUGAUUGUCUAUCUUUCAUUGACCUACAUUCAUUGGUCCAAUGUUGACCUUUGCCAUACCUCCUACAUACACCUGAAGGCUGAGUCCUCCUAUUCCUGCCAUUCCCAGAGGAGACAUUAUUCCUAGGAAUCUCUUGUCUACAAUCCAUUCUCAGAUGUCCCAUUCUACCACAAUUAAAACAUUUGGUAUUUUGAUGUCUCCUCUUACCACUGGAAAUUGCUUCUCCUAUCCAAGCUUCAGUUCCAUAGUCAAGUGUCUCAACAUUCAUUGUAUGCAAUGAAUCAUCCAUGGGUGCUGAUCUGAUCUUUAAAGGCCCAAGGAUCCUUUUGCAUUCCCCCACAAAAUGCACUAUGAAUAUUUUUCGUUGUUUAGAAUGUUGGUUACAAAUUGUUACGGAUAAGAGCCAGGAGAAAAGCUAAACAAAGGAUAUUAGAUUCAGAGUUCUUGUUUUUUAAUUUUUGUUGUUUUUUUUUUAAAGGGGGAGAAGUGCUGUGGACAAUGGUUUUUUACCCUGUCAAUUGUAUUUUAAUAAAACAUUGAUUGGCCAGUAGCCAAUAAUGGAAGUAGAGGUGAGGCAAUGAGAAUUCUGGGAGAGAAAAGCUCAGUCUGCAGUCAUGACCCAGCCUCAGAGGAAGCAAGAUGUUAAUGCCUCGCUGAAAAAGGUAUCAAGCCACAUGGCUAACACAGACAAGAAUUAUGGGCUAAUAUAAGUUAUGAGUUAAUAAGAAGCCUGAGCUACUAGGCCAAUACAUUUAUAUUGUAUGUAGACCUCUGUGUGUGUUUAUUUGGGACUAAAUGGCCACAGGAACCGGGAAGGACAGAAACCUCUGUCAACAUACCACCGUUGAAAGUAUUCUUGCAAGAGUUGUGUGAAUAGCGGUAAGCACCAUGCUUACAGUUUGCCAGGUAGUUAGCUGUAAGCUGUGUAUUCUAUUUCCCUCUCUAUGGUGUCCUCUUCUGUAGGAAGCUUCUCAGUGGAGACAAGGCUCAGAGAUAGGAUGCAAGUGGCCUAAAGUCACAGAGCUAGAUUGUGACAAAGGCAAAGUUUAAACCUGGGGCUAGAAGGUUCCAUAGCAUCCUGACAUGGGUGCUAUGGUUCAGGUCUGGAAUGUCUCCUUAGGCAGUGUGUUAACGUCAGAGGAAACUUUAAGAGGUGGGCUCAAGGGUUUUAAGUCAUUAGUGACAUUUCAGAGAAGGGCAUGAUGGGAGCCUGUCUCUCCUGUUUAUUCUAUGUCUAGCCAUGAGGUGAAUAGCUUGGUUCUACCAUGGGGUGCCUGCCUCACCAGGGCCCAAGCAAUAUGAUCAAUUGAUUAUAGUCUGGAGUCUUUGAAGUCAGGAUUGAAAAUGAGCUUUUCUCUUGUAAAUCAUUACAUCAGGCAUUUUGUUGCAGUAAUGAAAUCUGGGUAUCACAGCAGAGAUCCAUGGCACAUGUAAUCAUGCUGGCCACAAAACAGAAUCAGAGCUAGAGGAAAACCCUUUGAGGACCCCAACUUAAAAGAUUUUUUUUGGCUCCUCACCUCAUAUGUAAUUUUAAAUCAGAACAAUGCUAAGCUCUAAAUUAAGUAGAAAGAACUUCAGUAAAGCUGCAACCUCCCCUCAACACCCCAGAGUACUGACACUGAUUUCCACCCAAAUACUGAAUUCUAUUAAAAACCUCUCCAUCCUUCCCAACCUCUCCACUCCACCUUACUUCCUCUCAUUUUAUCUAUUACUUAUUUAUAUUUAUGUGCAUGUGUGUGCCUCUCUCUGUGGGUGUGACCAUAUAUAUGCAGGUACUUACUGAAGCCGGAAGAGGGCUUUGGAUCCCUGGAGCCAGAGUUACAGGUGGUUGUGAGCCCCCUCCCAUGGAUGAUGGGAACUGCACUUGGGUCCUCUGCAAGGGCAGCAAGCACUCCUAGCUGGCAUGUGAUCAGUCUAGCCCAGUCCCCCUCUUGUUUGAGGACUUUCUGAAGCCCUCUUUCUGUUUAACCUCUGAUCAGGUUUAUUUUUAAUUUUAUGAGUGUCUGAGCACCAUGAGCAUGCCUGGCACCCACAGAGGUCAGAAGAGGGCACUGGACCACUGGAACUGGAGUUACAGGCAGUUGUGAGUUGCCAUGUUAGAGCUCUGAAACUUGGGCUUGCAGAUUUUUGGCAUUUGGCAAUUUGUUCCCUCUCCCUGGGUAUCCUCCUGGUGUCUUCCUAAUUGGCCAAAGAUAAUUUGGAAGGAGAACUGUGUGGCACCAUCAGACAGAACUACAGCAAUAAAAGUCCUGUUCCAAACCUACACAUCUGCAGACAGAGGGCCAAUCCUCCUUGACUAUGUGAGGGUAGAAGCUGCGACCUCAUCACCGUGGAGCCCUGUCACUUGGGCAUCAGUUUCACUUGGGCAUCAGUGUCUGACGUAGCACUCAGGAAAUGUUUGCUCAACUGAGGGAGAACUAGAAGACUGGCCACAUGGAAGAUUGUUGCCCCCUGCUAUGUGGUUGCUGGGAAUUGAACUCAGGACCUCUGGAAGAACAGCCAGUGAUCUUAACUGCUAAGCCAUUUCUCCAGCCCAAGUAUACAGUGUUAUAGUUGGAAUGUGAGGUGUCCUUCAUGAGCUUAUGUGUUGGAGCACUUGGUCCCCAGCUGAUGGCACUGUUUGGGAAAAUUAUGGAAUCAUAAGGAGAUGGAGCCUGACUGGAGGAAGUCGCUUUUGCUGGGGUACUUAACCACAGCAACAGAAAUGAAAUAUACGGAAGUUUGGAAUGCUUGCUGACCAUGCUCUGCCAGGAGGAUUUGGCCAUACACACGCCUUCUCUAGCUCUCAGACUGUCUACAGCCAUUCCUUGGGCAGAAGCUCCCAAGCCUCUUAGCACCGAUCCCCUUUCAUUUGGAUCCCAAUUUGCAGAAGACUUUGUUUUCAAAAUGACAGCACCUUUUAAACAGCCUGUCCACCCUCACUGUUGACGUUUUUUGAAUCUGAGGAUGAGAAAGACCCAUGCAUCGUCUGGAGACCCCACACAUCAGUGGAGAGGAACCCAAAGCCUGUUUGUUGCCUCACAGUCUUCAAGGGCAGAUUCCCUCAG